AGCUCCCCUGCUCCCUUUAUUGUCCUUUGUCCUUGGGAGGAAAAGCUCGACGUCCUUGAGCGCGGGCGGGAGGGGCGGCGGGUUAGCUGCCGGCUCUGCACACGCAGCCCUGGGUGCGGAGGGCCGAUGCCACUGGAGCACCGGGUCGGGCCACCCGGUUCCUGCUGCACACCCAACCCGGCGCCGCGCUGCGGUCCGAGCCAGCGGGGAGAGGGCGGCGGCCGCUCUGUGGAACCCCUGCUUGCUCCGGUAUCUUAGAAGAUGGUAAUGUGGUUGCCGAUGAUUCUGAAUAAAUACAGCUUUUAUCCCAGGUGUGCCAUUCUGAAGACUGAGACAAUAGAGUUUUUAAGAAUAAAAGAGAACCCUUGGGAAAUUCUGUAUUGUAUAUAUCAAAAAUAUGAAUCCUGAGGUGGAAUGAAAGGCGUGUAUACUAUAGACAUCGAAGCAUUUACACCCAGCUUGAAGAGUUUGAAAUGGACUUUACCACUGAGAAAUCAAGAUGGCAGCCCAUUAUGGGGAAUUGAGGAAAAUGGAUUAAUGCAAGAAUGCUGUGAUAUUACACAACCAACACAGGAUUCUUUUAAUAUGGAUGCCAUGAAAUGAAUGAUUCUUACCCAACACAAAUGGACAGUGGAAUUUACUUCCUAAAGACUUGUUUCGUAUCAUGUACAUUUUUGACAUCUGGAGAAGAUGCUACAUUUCUACAAAUGGUAGUUUGUAUUCCUGUAGAUUCUUGCCGUUUGCUCUGAGUGACCUUAUGGAAUGUUAACUUUAAUAAAAUUCUAAAACUUAAAAAAU
rnacentral:sRNA from 1 species